rnacentral:rRNA from 1 species
GUAGUGUGAAUUGCAGAAUUCAGUGAAUCAUCGAAUCUUUGAACGCACAUUGCGCCCCUUGGUAUCCCGAGGGGCAUGCCUGUUCGAGCGUCAUUUCACCACUCAAGCCUGGCUUGGUGUUGGGCGACGUCCCUUAGGGACGCGCCUCGAAACGCUCGGCGGCGUGGCACCGGCUUUAGGCGUAGCAGAAUCUUUCGCUUUGAAAGUCGGGGCCCCGUCUGCCGGAAGACCUACUCGCAAGGUUGACCUCGGAUCAGGCAGGGAUACCCGCUGAACUUAAGCAUAUCAAUAAGCGGAGGAAAAGAAACCAACAGGGAUUGCCUCAGUAACGGCGAGUGAAGCGGCAACAGCUCAAAUUUGAAAUCUGGCUCUUUUAGGGUCCGAGUUGUAAUUUGUAGAGGAUGCUUCGGCGGCGGCUCCGGUCUAAGUUCCUUGGAACAGGACGUCAUAGAGGGUGAGAAUCCCGUAUGUGAUCGGUUGCCUUUGCCAUGUGAAGCUCCUUCGACGAGUCGAGUUGUUUGGGAAUGCAGCUCUAAAUGGGAGGUAAAUUUCUUCUAAAGCUAAAUACUGGCCAGAGACCGAUAGCGCACAAGUAGAGUGAUCGAAAGAUGAAAAGCACUUUGGAAAGAGAGUCAAAAAGUACGUGAAAUUGUUGAAAGGGAAGCGCUUGCAACCAGACCUGCCUGCAGUUGCUCAUCCGGGCUUUCGCCCGGUGCACUCUUCUGCUGUCAGGCCAGCAUCAGUUCGGGCGGUCGGAUAAAGGCUUCGGGAAUGUAGCUCCUCUCGAGGAGUGUUAUAGCCCGUUGCGAAAUGCGGCCAGCCUGAACUGAGGUCCGCGCUUCGGCUAGGAUGCUGGCGUAA